UAAGGAAUAUUGGUCAAUGGACGCAAGUCUGAACCAGCCAUGCCGCGUAGAGGAUUAAGGCCCUCUGGGUUGUAAACUCCUUUUAUCUGGGAAGAAAUGUACUUUUUCUUGAGUACUUGACGGUACCAGAGGAAUAAGCACCGGCUAACUCCGUGCCAGCAGCCGCGGUAAUACGGAGGGUGCAAGCGUUAUCCGGAUUCACUGGGUUUAAAGGGUGCGUAGGUGGGCAGGUAAGUCAGUGGUGAAAUCUCCGGGCUUAACCCGGAAACUGCCGUUGAUACUAUUUGUCUUGAAUAUUGUGGAGGUAAGCGGAAUAUGUCAUGUAGCGGUGAAAUGCUUAGAUAUGACAUAGAACACCAAUUGCGAAGGCAGCUUACUACACAAUCAUUGACGCUGAGGCACGAAAGCGUGGGGAUCAAACA
rnacentral:rRNA from 1 species